CAGCAUGCAGGCCAUCAAGACCAAGUCAUGCAGGAGCUGCUGGAACGAGCUGAACUAUUCCUAUUUUGUUCAACUUGUAAUCUUAAGUUAAUGUAAUGUACUUUAGUUCAUUUAGAACUAUGUUAGGUUUAUGAUUGAUGUAUUUUGAUGACAAUUAAGCUGUUAAGUCAGCUUUGUUUAAGUGUGCAAGCUUAGUUUUUCAAGUUUCAAUGUAUUAGUUGUAGUAGGUGAUGAUUAGGUAUCAUUAUGCAGAUUUUGACAAGCAAAUUGCUUGGUUUAUGUAUUGGCAUUAUGCCAUUGUUCAACUUAUGAAUAGAAUCAGUUUUUGUUCAUCAAUUUCCUCUCCAUUUUCUUAGCUUUUUCUUUCUUUCUUUAACUCGAAAUUGUUUGUUUGCUCAGCAAGUUUUAAGGCUUGCUCGACAAGAUACUAGCUGAGUCUGCUUGAUUCUGUUCUUGCACCAACAAUUGGUAUCUAGAGCCUAUUUCUUAAGGGAUCUGUUACUCAAUUCCAUGGCUUCAUCAAGCUUUUCACCAGCUGCACCUCAAGUCUUCAAUGGAGAAGGCUAUCACAUAUGGGUGGUCAAAAUGAAGACCUACCUGCAGGCGUUCGAUCUGUGGGAGGUGGUCAACUUUGAUGUUGAACCAGAGCCACUUAGAGCUAAUCCAACAGUGGCUCAGAUCAGGCAGCAUGCUGAUGAAAGGACCAAGAGGCACAAAGCUAUGUCCUGCAUCCAAAACUCAGUGUCUGAUGUGAUUUUCACAAGGAUUAUGGCCUGUGAAUCACCAAAACAGGCCUGGGAUAAGUUGCAGGAAGAGUUUCAAGGGACAGAGAGGACAAGGCAGCAACAGUUGUUAAACUUGAGGAGAGAUUUCGAGAAUUUGAAGAUGAAGGAAGAAGAAACUGUCAAGCAAUAUUCUGACAGGAUUAUGGCUGUGGUUAACAGCAUCAGGCUCCUUGGAGAGCAGUUCAAUGAAGCUAGGAUAGUGGAGAAGGUAAUAGCAACUCUGCCUGAGAGGUAUGAGGCAAAAAUCUCAUCUCUCGAGGACUCAAGGGAUCUAUCCACCAUCUCUCUGACAGAGUUGAUCAAUGCUCUAUAUGCUCAAGAGCAGAGGAGAGCAAGCAGACUGGAGGAGCACCAAGAAGGUGCCUUUCAGGCAAGAGCAAAUACUGCCUACAAAGGCAAGAAGGCCUGGAGAGACAAGCCAAGGAAUGAUGCUGCAAGGAGAGAAGGCCAGACUUGCAAGCACUGUAGAAAGGCUGGUCAUUCAGAAGAAAAAUGCUGGUUCAAUCCAGAUGCUGUGUGUCAGCAUUGUAAGAAGAAGGGUCAUGUUGAGAGAGUCUGCAAGAGUAAGACCAAAUCGAGGCAGAAUCAGUUUCAACAGAUGAAAGCUGAGGCUCGAGUAGCUAAGGAGGACAGUGACCAAGAGGAGCAAGUCUUUGCUGUGUCAUGCUCAGCUGCUCAGGAAAGGUCCUCAUCUGGUUGGCUCCUAGACAGUGGAUGCACCAACCACAUGACACCUGAUGCUGCAAUCUUCAAGUCUUUAGACAGAAGCUGCAGAACUAAAGUCAAGAUAGGAAAUGGUCAUUUUAUCCAAGCUGAAGGCAAGGGUGAUGUGCUGAUAUGCACACUUACAGGUACCAAAGUGAUUUCAAAUGUGCUGUUGGUGCCUGAAAUUGACAGAAACCUGCUCAGCAUAGCUCAGUUGCUGGAAAAAGGUUAUUCAGUUGUGUUUAAAGACCACCAGUGCCAAAUCAGUGAUCCAAGUGGAUCCAAACUGAUGGCAGUCCCUAUGGCUGAUAAGAGCUUUGUGGUUGACUGGACAAAAAGGUCAGACAUUGCCUACACAGCCACUUCAGAUGAAUCCAAGUUGUGGCAUCAAAGAUUGGGACAUGCCAACUUCAGAUCGAUGGCUCGAAUGGUCAGAGAGGACCUGGCUGAAAAUUUCAUCAACUCAGUUGACCAUGAUGAUGUAUGUGAUGUAUGUCAGCUAGGAAAGCAGGCCAGACUCCCAUUUCCCUCGAAUCAAGCCUGGAGAGCCUCUGAAAAACUCCAACUGGUGCAUACUGAUGUGUGUGGCCCUAUGAAGACUGAGUCAUUAAGUGGAAACAGGUAUUUCAUACUGUUUAUUGAUGAUUUCUCGAGAUAUUGCUGGAUUUACUUUUUAAAACAGAAAUCUGAAGUGGCCUCAGUGUUUUGGAAGUUCAAGACUGCUUCUGAGACUGAAACAGGCUGCAAGCUGAAGACCAUAAGGUCUGAUAAUGGGACUGAGUACACCUCAGCUCAGUUCCAAGCCUUCUGUGAUAAGGCAGGCAUCAAACAUCAACUUACCAACACAUAUACACCUCAGCAGAAUGGGGUAAGUGAAAGGAAGAAUAGGAGUUUGAUGGAUAUGGCCAGGUGCUUGAUGAUUCAGAAAAAUCUGCCUAAAGCACUAUGGGCAGAAGCAGUUAACACUGCAACAUACAUUCAAAAUAGACUUCCAACCAAGGCUUUGGAUCAAAAGACCCCAUUCGAGGCCUGGUUUAGUUUCAAGCCAUCAUUGGCUCAUCUGAAGGUCUUUGGAUGCAUCUGUUAUGCACAUGUACCUGCUGUUAAAAGGGACAAAUUGUCUGAAAGGGCUCGACCUGGUGUUUUGGUGGGGUAUAGCACUGUUAAGAAGGGCUAUAGGAUUUUAGAUCCUUCAACAAACAAAGUAUCAAUAAGCAGGGAUGUGGUAUUUGAUGAGAGGUCAUGUUGGAACUGGGAAAGACAUGAACCUGAAGAAGUUUCUGAAGAACUUGCUGUAGACCAAGCUGAGCCAGAUCAAAAUGUCCCUGAAAUGGAUAUUGAUGAUGAACCAGUCAGAGGAACAAGGUCAUUGGCUGAGGUUUAUGAAAGGGCUCAUGUAGCCAUAGCUGAACCAAGCAACUUUGAAGAGGCUGAGGCUCAACAAGGGUGGAAGCAGGCAAUGGCUGAGGAGAUCAGCAUGAUUGAGAAGAACCAGACCUGGGAAUUGGUUGAAAGGCCAGUCAAAAGGAAGGUGAUUGGGGUAAAAUGGGUGUACAAAGCCAAGCAGAAUGCUGAUGGUACCUUGAACAAGUUAAAAGCAAGGCUAGUGGUCAAGGGGUUCAGUCAGAGGUAUGGCUUGGACUACUUGGAGACCUUUGCACCAGUGGCCAGGCUCGACACCAUCAGACUGCUGAUUGCCUUAGCAGCACAGCUCGAAUGGAAGAUUCAUCAACUUGAUGUGAAAUCAGCCUUUCUAAAUGGUUUCUUAGAUGAAGACAUCUAUGUUGAACAACCACAAGGGUUUGAAAUAGCUGGCAGAGAGCAUAUGGUCUACAAAUUGAAGAAGGCCCUAUAUGGCUUAAAACAGGCUCCAAGGGCCUGGUACAGCAGAAUCGAUGGCUACUUGACUGAUCUGGGAUUCAAUCGAAGCAAGAGUGAGCCAACACUGUAUGUCAAGAAGCAAGGGACACAAACACAACUCAUUGUGUCCCUAUAUGUUGAUGACCUGCUGGUGACAGGAGGAGAUCAAGCAGUGCUGGUUAAUUUCAAGACCAAGAUGCAAGAGGUGUUUGAAAUGUCUGAUCUUGGUGAGAUGUCCUAUUUUCUUGGAAUGGAGGUGACUCAAGCACAAGAUGGGAUAUUUUUAAGUCAGAAGAGCUUUGCCACAAAGAUUCUGACCAAGUUCUCCAUGCAAAACAGCAAACCAACUAAAACACCUGUUGCUGUUGGAGAAAAACUAUCGAGCCAAGGAGAUUUUGAGAAGGUAUGUGAAACUACCUACAGGAGUCUAGUUGGUUGUUUGCUAUACUUGACUGCCACUAGACCAGACAUAAUGUAUGCUGUAGGAUUGCUCUCAAGGUUCUUGCAUUGUUGCAAUGAGAAGCAUUUCCAGGCUGCCAAGAGAGUGCUCAGAUAUGUCAAAGGCACUUUGGACUAUGGCUUAAGGUACAGCAGGAAAGGAAAUCUAAAUCUAGUUGGGUACACUGAUAGUGACUGGGCUGGAUCGAUAGAUGACAUGAAAAGCACCUCAGGGUAUGCUUUUAGACUUGGUUCAGCCAUGUUCUGCUGGAGCUCGAAGAAGCAAAGUCUGGUGGCACAAUCUACUGCUGAAGCAGAGUAUGUGGCAGCAGCAAGUGCUGUCAACCAAGCCAUUUGGCUUAGGAAAAUCCUGGCUGAUUUGAAUAUGGAUCAAAUGGAAGCAACAGAGAUUUUCUGUGACAAUCAAUCUGCAGUAGCAAUUGCUAAAAAUCCAGUGUUCCAUGGAAGAACAAAACAUUUCAGCAUCAAGUUGCAUGUUGUUCGAGAAAUGGAGCAAGCUCAGGAAGUAAAGCUGAUCCACUGUAAUUCAGAGGAUCAACUUGCUGACAUUUUAACCAAAGCUCUUAGUGUCACAAGGUUUGAAUAUCUAAGAAAGAUGCUAGGUGUUUGCUCCAUGCAAACCAAGGAGGAGUGAUGAAGUUGGUUCAGCAUGCAGCAAACUCGACAGCAUGCAGGCCAUCAAGACCAAGUCAUGCAGGAGCUGCUGGAACGAGCUGAACUAUUCCUAUUUUGUUCAACUUGUAAUCUUAAGUUAAUGUAAUGUACUUUAGUUCAUUUAGAACUAUGUUAGGUUUAUGAUUGAUGUAUUUUGAUGACAAUUAAGCUGUUAAGUCAGCUUUGUUUAAGUGUGCAAGCUUAGUUUUUCAAGUUUCAAUGUAUUAGUUGUAGUAGGUGAUGAUUAGGUAUCAUUAUGCAGAUUUUGACAAGCAAAUUGCUUGGUUUAUGUAUUGGCAUUAUGCCAUUGUUCAACUUAUGAAUAGAAUCAGUUUUUGUUCAUCAAUUUCCUCUCCAUUUUCUU
rnacentral:lncRNA from 1 species